AAUGUCAUAUCCAGUGUUCCGUGU
rnacentral:siRNA from 1 species